AUGGGACAUCUGCCUUACUUCUGCUGGGGCCAAGUGGUGCAGGGAUUUGGCUGCGGCUCCAAGCAGCUGGGCAUCCCUGCAGCUAAUUUUCCUGAGUAAGUGGUAGAUAACCUUCCAGCUGAUAUAUCCACCGGCAUUUAUUGUAGUUGGGCCAGUGCUGGAAGUAGAGAUGUCCAUAAGAUGGUGGUGAGCACAGGAUGGAACCCAUACUACAAGAAUACAAAGAAGCCCAUGGAAACACAUAUCAUGCAUACCUUCAAAAAAGACUUCUAUAAGGAAAUCCUCAAUGUGAUCAUUGUUGGCUACCCCAGACCAGAAAAGAACUUUGAUUCUUUAGAGUCACUUAUA
rnacentral:lncRNA from 1 species